AGCGGGGAAGGAUUGCAACAGUGUUGCAGCUACUUCUGUGAGGGGGACCUCCUGAGGUUGGACAAAUCACUGCAGCCAGUAAGACGUAAGUCAGGGGGAGCCUUUAUAAAAGGUCCUUAGAAGUCUAAGCCGGAGUUUCCUUUCAUGACUAACUCCCGUCCUCAACCUUUUGCUCUGUGAUUUGUGUUCUGGGAACUGUUCCUGCUCUGUGCCCUUGGUAAAGACAGUGCACGAAGCACUCCAGGAAAUGAGCUUCCAGCAGUCUGUGAAGCCCACAGGAGGAAGGUCUUUGCCUUGCUGAAAGCACUCAAGAUAUGCACUUUUCACGCUGUGUUUGCUCUUCUCCACUACAGGACUCCAUCCAAAGUGGCUCCUGCAGAAGUGAGGCAGUUUAAAUGUGUGGUCUUGACCCAUGGCUUUCAGAGGUCCUCUGAGCCCUGGAUUGUAGGAAGUUGCUCAUGCAGAAGCUACAGCUAUAGGUAAAAAUCCACUUCAGCCCAAGAUGAAUGCGACCUUGCUGAUAAGGUCCAGGGCACAUACAAAGUCCAGAGCAGGGGUGAGGAGUUGGAAAAACAUCAAGAUCUAAAAACAAACUAAAGGGAAACAUUCUACCCGGGGAGUGAACAAGAGCUUUCUUCCCUCAGAAGUUGGUCAAAAUGAUGCAUUUUCUAUGUAAAAGAACAAUGAUCUGCAAAGAAGGAAAUGAUAUCCUUGAAGACUUAAUCACAGAAAUGUAGCGCGAGCCUUAACUCCAUGCAGCCCCCCUGGCGCCUGCCCACCUUCAGGCUGGAAGGUUGCGUUCUCUCUCUCUGAAGAGCUACCACUUUGCAGCGGACGCCCCACACUCCCUACAGCUGCCUCUGCCUGUUACCUAAAGUCUCCCUU
rnacentral:lncRNA from 1 species